UAGGAAACUCUUGACUUGAAAGCUGUGUCAUAAUCAAGGGACUGAGAUUGUGAUCUUUCCAAAGAAAGCCUCUGGCUGUGCUGUUGACUCUCCAGUGGUUUCUCCAAGUACCCACAUUUCCCAACAUCAUCUAGCCCGGAUUCUGAUCUGGCACCUCCUGAUUGGCGCCCUCUGCCUAUAUAAGGUCAGGAUGUGCAACGCUGGAGUCAGAGUCCUACCUUCUCCUGAGCUCUGACGCUUUCCUCUCUGUGCUCCCUGCUGAUCCAUUCACCAGCAUGAAGGUCUUGGCGUUGAUGGUCCUGGUGGCAGUCUCCACCUUCCUGGUCUCAGGCCAGGAUACAACAAGUGCUCCAUCUGAUAGCUCUACUGCUGCUCCUGAUGCCACCACUGCAGCUCCUGCCAGCACUGCAGCUCCUCCUGCCUCCACGACCACUGCUGCUCAAAGCACCACUUCAGCAAGCUUCUUGAACUGGUUGCAUCACCUAUUUGGGUUGAAAUAGUUGUAAGAUGGAAUUACUCCGAGGCAUCUGCAUUUGAUCCUGUGGGGCUCGGCCACUUAUGCCUUCAUUUGAUUUAAUCCAACGAUUUACCAUGUGUACCAAUGUCUCUUAUCCCUAAUCAGUUUUUCUGUUUAAAAUAAAAAGAACAACAUUGAGCA
rnacentral:lncRNA from 12 species